AUUGAACGCUGGCGGCAGGCCUAACACAUGCACGUCGAGCGGAGCGGCGGACGGGUGCGUAAUGCCUAGGAAUCUGCCUGGUAGUGGGGGAUAACUGCCGGAAACGGGCGCUAAUACCGCAUACUAUCAGAUGAGCCUCGGUCGGAUGAGCUAGGUGGUGGGGUAAAGGCCUAACAAGGCGACGAUCCGUAACUGGUCUGAGAGGAUGAUCAGUAACACUGGAACUGAGACACGGUCCAGACUCCGACGGGAGGCAGCAGUGGGGAAUAGUGGACAAUGGGCGAAAGCCUGAUCCAGCCAUGCCGCGUGUGUGAAGAAGGUCUUCGGAUUGUAAAGCACUUUAAGUUGGGAGGCGUUACCAACAGAAUAAGCACCGGCUAACUUCGUGCCAGCAGCCGCGGUAAUUC
rnacentral:rRNA from 1 species